UGGUGUGGAGUCUUCAUAAAGCUAGAUAACCGAAAGUAAAAAUAACCCCAUACACUGCGCAGAGGGGCCCCUGGAAAGCUGGCGGCACGGGCGGGCGGGAGGCCUAAGGGAGGGGCUAAAGCCGUGAGGACCCACGGGCCGUGGGAGGCGAGAAGAGGACCCGGCGGCCCUCGGGCCUCAAGACCGCACCGGCUGGGGCGUCUUUCCACCCUCCAACUUCGGUCCGCGCAGAAUCCCCCUCGCUCCUCUCAGCCACACACACCUGCAGGCUCAGGAAGCUCCCCGGGAGGAGAUGCAGAGAAGCCAAUGUUGGUCCCCAGCACCGAACCUUCCUGACCCAGGGAUUGAACUUGCCUCUCCUGCUUCUCCUGUAUCGGCAGGCAGAUUCUUUACCACUGAGCCACCUGGGAAGCCCUACUAGCUGCGUGGCCUUAGGAAAUUUCAUGAUCUUGCUUAUUCCUGUCUUGGAAAAUCCUUUCCAAUGUCUAACCAAGAUCUGUACUGCUGAAGUACCAGUUCUUUGACCUAUGGCUUGACAUGGCUGAUUUGAGAGGUACAGCUUCCCACCACCCAGGAAGGAAGGAACUGGCCUGGAUUUUGGCAACCUCUUGCUUGUACCAAAAAGAAGAACCUACUUCAUCCAGUUGGCUUCAGUGCCCUGUGAGAAGCCUUCCUGAUUGACGGAAAGAUGAGACUAAAUUCUAGCAAGUUGAGUGGCUCCUUCAAGAAGCCUGUGUGCAGGGUAGAAGUGGAGAGGCCAUAGCCUCCAGCCUGGGCAGCCCAUUGGCACCUGGAGCCACCUCAACUUUGCCUCCCCUUUGCUCCUGUGUCUAUAAGCUGCCCAGCCCAGCCCGUCCUGGUUUCUCCUGUGUCUUCUGAGCUGAGAUUUCUCUGAGAUGGAAGCCCCAUCCCAUGUCUAAUAAAGACUCUUGAAUACUGAA
rnacentral:lncRNA from 1 species